rnacentral:rRNA from 1 species
CAUCUUAUGUGUUGGAUCGUGUGACUCAUAUAUCUAUGAAACACACAUCUAUCUGCGUUAUAUACCACGAUGUGCUUAAAAUGUGAGUGAUAAAAUUGUGAACGCAUAGCGCCACGGGGUAUACUCUGUGGCACGUGUGUCUCAGGGGUGUA